ACAGUGGGUGCACCUGAAAGGUAGUCAGUCGCCCUGGCCUUCAGUGGGAAACUUACUUUCUCCAUUAUCAGAUCCUGGGACAGAGAGCCUUCAAAAAGAGCAGUCCCUCCAAUUCCGUCCCAGGAGCCCCUGCCUUGGGAUGGGGGAAGCCUCCUUUGCGUCCGCACGCCCGCAGGCAUCCUCAGAGGUUGUGAUUUCAGCAACGAAAGCCUUCGACAACACAAGGAAUGUUCUGCUUCAUGAUCUCAGUUGUCAAAUCUCUAUGCAUUGUUGGAAGAUGCCCAGCUGAUCUUUAAGCGAUUUUACUUUUUGAGGAUCGAACUAGGCUGCCAACAUGGACCACAAUCCUAUCCUCAUUUCUGAACUGUACAAUUGUUUCCCUUAACUUAAUUCACUUAUUUUAUCUUCUUUGUCAAGGCCCUUGGGUUGUAUUGCUUGAACUCGUAUGAAGUUUAUAUUUGUAAAUAUAUGAUUGACUAUGUAUGUAGAUUUGUUUUUUUGUAUAAGCUGCUGUGGCCUUUGGCUCUGUGUGGAUAAAAUUUGAUUUGAUUCAAGUUGAUAUAUGUAUACAAAUUAUAUUAAUAAAACAACAAGAUUUAUCUGCAGAAGGCGUUGCAUGCAGACAAGCCACUUUAGAUGGAAAGGUUCCCUUGUCCACUAGGAAAUAGAUCCACACACUGCUUUUGCUUUACGCUUGCUUGGUUUUCUUGAAUUCUACUGAAAGAAGCUAGAGAAUGAAAGCCGUGUUAACUGUUUGUGCAAGAGUAAUAACAGCCUUUAACAGAAGAAGGAGAAUUAUUUUUGUCUAGUUCCCCUGGCAUAGGCAGAAGAGGCUAGUCAGUGCCUAUCCACCUGCCAUUGGGCACUUCUUUUCUGUACUGAAAGGCCUUGUAUGAAAUAUAAAUUGAAAAAGCCAUUAGUUGGUGACUACGCUAUGCUUUCCUUGAUGCUUUGGUAGUUCUUGUGCCUGCAAUUCACGGCUGGGGAGAUAUUGAAGAGAUCACACAUAGCCCCAUCCCCCUCCAGUGCCACUCAGUCACAAUGACAGCAGGUAUCCGUGAGCCAGAAGGAAGCGCUUACAAGGGGUGGCUGCAUUUGGAAAUAGAAGCCCCAGUUAGCAGGCGGAAGCAUUGGUGCUGAAAGCAAUCACUGG
rnacentral:lncRNA from 11 species